rnacentral:rRNA from 1 species
GACGAACGCUGGCGGCGUGCUUAACACAUGCAAGUCGAACGGUAAGGCCCUUCGGGGUACACGAGUGGCGAACGGGUGAGUAACACGUGGGUGAUCUGCCCUGCACUUCGGGAUAAGCCUGGGAAACUGGGUCUAAUACCGGAUAGGACUCCUGGCUUCAUGGUUGGGGGUGGAAAGCUUUUGCGGUGUGGGAUGGGCCCGCGGCCUAUCAGCUUGUUGGUGGGGUAAUGGCCUACCAAGGCGACGACGGGUAGCCGGCCUGAGAGGGUGACCGGUCACACUGGGACUGAGAUACUGCCCAGACUCCUACGGGAGGCAGCAGUGGGGAAUAUUGCACAAUGGGCGCAAGCCUGAUGCAGCGACGCCGCGUGAGGGAUGACGGCCUUCGGGUUGUAAACCUCUUUCAGCUAUGACGAAGCGCAAGUGACGGUAGUAGCAGAAGAAGGACCGGCCAACUACGUGCCAGCAGCCGCGGUAU